rnacentral:rRNA from 1 species
GAUGAACGCUGGCGGCGUGCCUAAUACAUGCAAGUCGAGCGAACAGACGAGGAGCUUGCUCCUCUGACGUUAGCGGCGGACGGGUGAGUAACACGUGGAUAACCUACCUAUAAGACUGGGAUAACUUCGGGAAACCGGAGCUAAUACCGGAUAACAUGUUGAACCGCAUGGUUCAACAGUGAAAGACGGUCUUGCUGUCACUUAUAGAUGGAUCCGCGCCGCAUUAGCUAGUUGGUAAGGUAACGGCUUACCAAGGCAACGAUGCGUAGCCGACCUGAGAGGGUGAUAGGCCACACGGGAACUGAGACGCGGUCCAGGCGCCUAAGGGAGGCAGCAGAAGGGAAUCUGCCGCAAUGGGCGAAAGCCUGACGGAGCAGCGCCGCGUGAGUGAAGAAAGUCUUCGGAUCGUAAAACUCUGUUAUUAGGGAAGAACAAAUGUGUAAGUAACUAUGCACGGCUUGACGGUACCUAGUCAGAAAGCCACGGCUAACUACGUG